AUUGAACGCUGGCGGAAUGCUUUACACAUGCAAGUCGAACGGCAGCACGGGGGCAACCCUGGUGGCGAGUGGCGAACGGGUGAGUAAUACAUCGGAACGUGCCCAGUCGUGGGGGAUAACGUAGCGAAAGUUACGCUAAUACCGCAUACGAUCUACGGACGAAAGCGGGGGACCGUAAGGCCUCGCGCGAUUGGAGCGGCCGAUGUCAGAUUAGGUAGUUGGUGAGGUAAAGGCUCACCAAGCCGACGAUCUGUAGCUGGUCUGAGAGGACGACCAGCCACAGUGGGACGGGGACACGGCCCAGCCUCCUCGGGGGGGCAGCAGUGGGGAAUUUUGGACAAGGGGCGCAAGCCUGAUCCAGCCAUUCCGCGUGCAGGACGAAGGCCUUGGGGUUGUAAACUGCUUUUGUACGGAACGAAAAGGCUCUGGUUAAUACCUGGGGCUCAUGACGGUACCGUAAGAAUAAGCACCGGCUAACUACGUGCCAGCAGCCGCGGUAG
rnacentral:rRNA from 1 species